UUGCUGGUCCGAAAAAAAAAAAAAAAGUCUAAAAAUAGAAGGUAUGCGCAUUUAGCAACUCGACGGGCUUGAUCUGCGCUCCUAGAAUUAAGAGCACGUUUGAGAAGGCAGUCAGUGCCGGAUUGCACAUUUAUCAUGAAAGCUGCCAGCUGCAAAAACAAAGAUGGGCACGAUAACCAGAGAAUGCUGCGCCCGGAGUAACGGACUUGGCAUCCAGGGGAACACAGCUGUCGGCACAAGCUUAUUUUAUAUCUGAAAUGUAAGGGGAGUUUCUGUAUUGGCAAGCUACGCUGCCUCCAGCUGACCUAAGGACUCUGUAGCCUCCUUUGAUGACAGAAAGGAUGAAGAUGAUCAUGUUAUGAUGUGACUGACAGGUAUUACUGUAGAAUUCUCAGGUUUGUGAAAGUCACCUGGGUGAAGCACAGAGGCUGUUUGGAAGCAUGUGCUGAUAGCACGUUGCCACAACUCCUACACAUCGAACCACCUGAAUUGGGAGCCAAGUGCACUGGGUGACCUCUCAGCACCACAGUGGAACAGUGUGAGGUUUUUUACAGUGGCUGGAGUGCCAAACCUGCCAACAACCCCACGCACUGUGACUGACCAUAUUUAAAAUUGAUAAAUAUUUAGAUAACUUAAUUAUUAGCUAACCAAACAAGACUCAAGGGACUGACUGAUAUAUUUUCAAUGAUACCUUUUUUAUUUGGUCCCCAGUUGGUGGUAGUGAGGAAGAAUUACAUUCUCUGUUUACUUUCAUUUUAGCAUAACACGAGUACAAGAGUAAAAUUAUGUACUGACGCACAACAGCAAUAAAAAUCUUAUUUUCUUUUAGAAAGA